AUCAGACAAAUUAGAUCCGUAGACUAAAUGUUCUGAGUAAUGUUUUGAGUAAUGCUUUAUCUUUUCAGCGACAUACUGAAAUACGAGAAAGUAGAUCCUUAGGCUAUAGUAUAUUUUGAGCAUUCUUUCCAUUUUAAGUGUUUAUUUUUCUUUCAGUUUUCCGAGGAGAAAUAUAAAUGUGAAAUCCUUCCUCGAUAUAGUGGAGUUUGCUCCUUACUUUCUCAUGUGUCUUUUUGUUCUUUUCUUUUCAGCGUCAAAAAAUAUAGAACAAAAAUUUACUGAAAUAAGACAAAGUAGAUCCGUAGACUAUAAUAUGUUUUGAGUCUAUUCCUGCCUUUCCAGUGUUUGUUAUUUUAACUAGUUUUCGGAGUAUAAAAAUAAGUAUUAGAACCGUUGUCGAUAUAGUGGAGCUUUUUCUUUCUUUUUUCUCAUGCAUCUUUUUCUUUUAAUCUUUUCAGCGUCAAAAAUAUGGACCAAAAAUAAAAUCACAGCCAAUCGGCAAGGAGGUCGUGGCCGCCACUUCCAUGCAGGCGCGGCGUGACGUCACUCGCGGAACUCCGACCGAGUGGCGCCGAGGGCAAGUAAGGUCACAUCCCCGACGCCCCGGAAGCCAAGCACACCUGGAUCGCCUUACCUGAGGGAGAGAAGAGGGAAAGUGUUAGAUCGCUGUCUUCGGCCAUCCAGCAGUUUGAGCAACAAAUAAAGCACCGAGAGGCCUGUGUGCCGGCGCCCUCAGCCUCCCGCGGCGCCGACGGGGAACACAAAGGCAGGGAAAGCCUCGGUCAGCAUGGGCGUGGCCGGAAAUAUAUCAGAGGAAUAGGAGGAGGAGAAGGAGGCGUUGGCGCUGUGACGGGCUGGGGGAGAGCGAAGACGAACAAGGAAUAAGAAGACGAGGAUCAGGAUCAGCAGAAGAGUGAGAGAGAGGACGAGAAAAAGAGCGGCUAGAGCAAGAGCGCCGAUACAAAGGCCUGGCUGGGGAGAAAUCUCAAGCCCCCUGUGACAUCAAGAUCAAGGCUUGUCAUCUCCCCCCCCCCAAACAAAAAAGACAACAACGGCACCAUCAACCGACAUCGAC